GACCACUAUGGUGGCCUAGUUGUUAUAGUGUCCACCUCAGAUGAGGGAGGUCGUGGGUUCGAUCCCCAGCAAAGUCA